UACAGAGGUUCCAAGCGUUGUUCGGAUUCACUGGGCGUAAAGGGUGCGUAGGCGGUCGGGUAAGUCUGAUGUGAAAUCUCACAGCUUAACUGUGAAACUGCAUUGGAUACUAUCCGGCUCGAGGAAUGGAGGGGAGACUGGAAUACUUGGUGUAGCAGUGAAAUGCGUAGAUAUCAAGUGGAACACCAGUGGCGAAGGCGAGUCUCUGGACAUUUCCUGACGCUGAGGCACGAAAGCCAGGGGAGCGAACGGG
rnacentral:rRNA from 1 species